GGGACUAUAGCUAAACGGUUAGAGCGCCAUCUUGAUAAGAUGGAUGUCCAAGUUCAAGCCUUGGUAGUCCUA